rnacentral:rRNA from 1 species
UACGUAGGGGGCAAGCGUUGUCCGGAAUUAUUGGGCGUAAAGCGCGCGCAGGCGGUUAAUUAAGUUGGGUGUUUAAGCCCGGGGCUCAACCCCGGUUCGCAUCCAAAACUGGUUGACUUGAGUGUAGGAGAGGAAAGUGGAAUUCCACGUGUAGCGGUGAAAUGCGUAGAGAUGUGGAGGAACACCAGUGGCGAAGGCGACUUUCUGGCCUAUAACUGACGCUGAGGCGCGAAAGCGUGGGGAGCGAACAGG